rnacentral:rRNA from 1 species
AGUGAACGCUGGCGGUAGGCCUAACACGUGCAAGUCGAACGGCAGCACAGGAGAGCUUGCUCUCUGGGUGGCGAGUGGCGGACGGGUGAGGAAUACAUCGGAAUCUACUCUGUCGUGGGGGAUAACGUAGGGAAACUUACGCUAAUACCGCAUACGACCUACGGGUGAAAGCAGGGGAUCUUCGGACCUUGCGCGAUUGAAUGAGCAGAUGUCGGAUGAGCUAGUUGGCGGGGUAAAGGCCCACCAAGGCGACGAUCCGUAGCUGGUCUGAGAGGACGAUGAGCCACACUGGAACGGAGACACAGUCCAGACUCCUACGGGAGGCAGCAGUGGGGAAUAUUGGACAAUGGGCGCAAGCCUGAGCCAGCCAUACCGCGUGGGUGAAGAAGGCCUUCGGGUUGUAAAGCCCUUUUGUUGGGAAAGAAAUCCAGCUGGCUAAUACCCGGUUGGGAUGACGGUACCCAAAGAAUAAGCACCGGCUAACUUCGUGCCAGCAGCCGCCGUAA